rnacentral:misc_RNA from 1 species
AAGGAGCACAUGGCCGCUUGCAGGCGAAUGUUCUGCACGGUUGCUCAUGGGUGGAACGUUAACUAUUCGGCACAGCGAGGGCUUGGUCUCCUAGUACUGCUUCGGCGCGGAAGAGAGAGUCUGGUUCUGGUUGUGUCGGGCACGUUGUUGGGUCCUGAGGGAACGGAAGUUGCCUCAAGGAUGCCGGCCUCACUUGAGAUGGUCCUUCGGGAUUGUUGAGGGUGUGUGACUGGUCGUUG